ACUCGGCCUUGCUGUGCGGUUGUGUAAUGCGGAGCAUAUGACUGAUCACGGCCAGGUGGCGCGGGAGGCGGCAGGAGUCCAAGCAGCCGGCACAUCGACCUAACGCCCGUCAGCUCCUGUCCUCGCACACUCUGACCCUCGGUCAGAUGGAGACGCUUCAGCUCCAGCACUGGAGUCAGGAUGUUGAGGAAAUGGCGUCGAAGCUGAAAUAUCGAGAAUUCAUAUGGAAUUUACAUGUUGCCGUCCAGCUUGAUAUCGGCGCCCUCGAACAUGAACCUCUUCAGGGUCUGCGACAGAGCCAAUAACACCGCGAGGAUCUGCUGAGCUACCACCGACAACACCUCGAUAUU